ensembl:lncRNA
AGGGUCAACACCCCAGACCUAGCAUUCACCUGGACUGUAAACUUUCAUAAGGUUGUGACGGUUGGCUGCUCAUUCAUGUCUCCAGCAUCUUGAGUAAAGCUCUGGUUUCUGCUCAGAAUAAUGACACAGGAAUGAGGUUUAUCAGAUUUCCAAGAACACUCUUCAUAUAUGGGAAGAUGUAGAUCCACUUGAAGAUCAUGAGCCAGAAGGAAAUGAAGUCUAGUGAAUUCUGAGAGAACAGAACAAUUGAUAACCAUCAUGAAGUGGUAUUAAAAGGAGGAAAAAAGUCACCUCAUAUCGAAACUGAAGCAGAUGACAUUGUAAGUCUUUUCAUGUGCUUUACUACCAGUGCACUUAAUGUAGCAUCUAAGUGAUUUGGGGAAAGUAUAUAGCUAGAAUCAACAAAUGUUUAAAACAGUAGACUGUCAAUUGUAAUUUGCAUUAUAACACUUCCUGAAUUAUGAGUGAUGUUUUUCUGCCUACCAUUGUGGGUAUUCAGAUGUAAUUUCUGGGGAAAAAAUACUAUCAUGGCUCUUCCAAUACCCACUCCUAUCACUCCUAAAGAUUAUUUUAUACUAUGUAUUAUGGGUUUAAAUUUAAUAUAAACAUAGGAAGAGACAAAAUCAUUAAGUGGUGAAAUAUGGGCUUUUUACUAUGUAGAAAGAAGAAAAAGCUGCAGUAUUCCUGGGGAACAAAGAGAUUUUGAACUAACUUUAGUUAGUUCCCAGUUUAAAUCCUAUACUAUUUGUACUUUAUGGUUUUGCUCAUGUCUAGUAAUACCAAAAAGACUGUUUCUUUAUAUAAGCAACUUGGAAGUUUCAUUGUAAGAAACCCAACUGGUGGCAGAGAAAAAUAAAUUAUAAAUUUGUUUUAAUAACACCACAUGGUUAUGACAGAGGAGGAAUGAGUUUGGAUAUAAUGUGUACUACUUGGUUUGCCUUCCAUCACAAUCAUUCUGGACCCAUACCCAAGUUCUCAGGAGAAAAAAUUGCAACGAAAGACUUUUACCAUUGAAUCAGGAAAGAAAUCGGGAGUUCUAAAGUGGUACUAAAUUGUGGACAUGUAUAAACAGCCUAGAACGAAGAGUUGAGAGUAUUUACAUAUAACAACAUUAUAUAGAUGUAUAUCAGCUUGGAAGAGAAAUUAAGUGGCAUAUAUUUCACCCUUGAAUUUUAAGUACAACAAG